AACGCACAUUGCGCCCUUUGGUAUUCCGAGGGGCAUGCCUGUUCGAGCGUCAUUAUAACCACUCAAGCCCCGGCUUGGUAUUGGGGUUCGCGGUCUCGCGGCCCUUAAAAUCAGUGGCGGUGCCAUCUGGCUCUCAGCGUAGUAGUUUAUCUCGCUAUUGGGUCCGGUGGUUGCUUGCCAAUAACCCCCAACUUCUCACGGUUGACCUCGGAUCAGGUAGGGAUACCCGCUGAACUUAA
rnacentral:misc_RNA from 1 species